GACGAUGACAUUGACACAAUCAUAUCCCCAGCUUUCCCAUUUUGUAUUGAAGCCAUCCUUCAGCUAUCAGGGCUUCUAUGAUAAGCACAGAAAUUGUCAGUUUAGCUAUAAUCCUGGAAUGGGAAUUCCAAUUUUAGUUCUCCUUCUUUUUCCUAUGAUCUCAAUUUCACAUUCAGAAUCAGAAUUGUGUUCAAAUAGGGGCACCGAUUUGGCAAACAGUACCUACUCCAAAGAUCUCAAUACAGUGCUCUCUUCUCUGCCUUUAAACAUCACAGAGAAUGGCGGUUUUUACAAUGGCACAGCAGGCCAAGACCCUGACAAAGUUUAUGCAUUAAGUCUUUGUAGAGGAGACCUUUCCUCGGACAAAUGCUACCAUUGCAUUAACUCCACAAUCCACGGAAUUAAAGAGCAGUGUCCUAAUCAAAAAGAAGGAAUCAUGUGGGGUGAGGCUACUACAUGUUUGGUAAGGUACUCAAAUCGUAAUAUUUUCGCCAGGAUGGAGUCUUCCCCUUCAGAGUGUGUGUCUAAUCCGAAUAAUUUAACUGGAAACUAUUCUCAAUUCAAUGAAACGCUGUAUGAUUUGAUGGGAAAACUCAUAACACAAGCUUCUUCAGGUUCUUCUGGUUUAAAGUUUGCAACAGGAAGCUCAGAUGAAGUGUUCGGGCUGGUGCAGUGCACCCCAGAUUUAUCGAAGGCUGAUUGCAGUAUUUGCCUACAAGGGGCAAUGAGAGAAGGAUGUGGGGUUGGAAAGGGAGGAGAAGAACUCUUAGACCAAGCUGCACACUUUGGUUUGAGACCUUCAAAUUUUAUGACUCUAAUACUUUUGAUUCCCCACAACUCCCUCCAACACCUACAGUCAAUUCUCCUCCUGUUGCAGCUAAUUUUUCUCCACCUCCUCAGACAAGAACAAAAGGUACGUUAAAAGAUGACCCGGAAAAUUGCAUUCAACUAGUGCUUAAUGCAAAAUUGUGUCCCAUGCAGGAAACAAGAGUACAUCUCAAAUUGUUACUAAAAUUACUGUGCCUAUAGUCGUUAUUCUAGUGAUACUGAUCACACUCACUUACGCCAUUUUGCGAAAGAGGUUGAAGCAUAAUUUCAAAAGUAUCUCAGGUAAAAGCAGCUAGAGAAGUGGGCAUGAAUGGGUGUAAAGUUAAAUAUAAAAGCAUUCUGUGUAAUUAAAGUCUCUAUUGUGUCACUCCCUGCUAAUUUUCAUUUGUUAUUCUGGGUCAGAUGAUGAUACAAUCAGAAGACUGGAAUCAUUGCACUUUGACUUUAGCACAAUAAAAGCAGCAACAGAUAACUUCUCUGAAGAUAAUAAGCUUGGACAGGGAGGAUUUGGUUCAGUUUACAAGGUAAACAAAACAUUCUCUUCAUAGUGACAAUGCUUCAGCUUCCUGUAAAAUUGAAUAUGAUGGUGCUGAUAGUUUUCUAGAAUCGUAAUAUUUUUGUAAGGUAAUAGGCACGUUAACAUAGAUUCAUAAUCAUCCAAAAGAAUUGAGAUCAUUAAAGAAAUUAGUGGAUGGGUGAUUACCUUAACAUUCUUAGAAGAAAGAAAGUAUUAAAUAAGACACUUGACUUUUUCAAGAACAUCAAAUGUAAAGAGCAUGAAGUAACUUCCCUUGUGUACUCGAGUAAAUCUUCAGGGCAUGCUACCAAAUGGACAAGAAAUUGCUGUGAAGAGGUUAUCCGGAUAUUCUGCUCAAGGUGAAGAAGAAUUCAAGAAUGAGAUUCCGUUGGUGGCUAAGCUCCAACAUAGAAAUCUUGUUAGCAUUAUAGGUUUCUGCUCAGAAGGAACAGAAAGGAUUCUUGUGUAUGAGUUUGUGAGGAAUGGCAGCCUUGAUCAUUUCAUAUUUGGUAUUAUUUUAUAGUUUCACGAUCAAGACAUGAUUUAGCAUCUUCUACUUAAUUAGAGUCUCUGAAUCCAUAAAUGGCUAUUACUAAUCCAUUUUAAUUUAAUGUAACUAACAGAUGAAAUCAGGGGUGCCCAAUUA
rnacentral:misc_RNA from 1 species